GACGAACGCUGGCGGCGUGCCUAAUACAUGCAAGUAGAACGCUGAAGGAGGAGCUUGCUUCUCUGGAUGAGUUGCGAACGGGUGAGUAACGCGUAGGUAACCUGCCUGGUAGCGGGGGAUAACUAUUGGAAACGAUAGCUAAUACCGCAUAAUAGUAGAUGUUGCAUGACAUUUGCUUAAAAGGUGCAAUUGCAUCACUACCAGAUGGACCUGCGUUGUAUUAGCUAGUUGGUGGGGUAACGGCUCACCAAGGCGACGAUACAUAGCCGACCUGAGAGGGUGAUCGGACACACUGGGACGGAGACACGGCCCAGACUCCUACGGGAGGCAGCAGUAGGGAAUCUUCGGCAAUGGAAGGAAGUCUGACCGAGCAACGCCGCGUGAGUGAAGAAGGUUUUCGGAUCGUAAAGCUCUGUUGUAAGAGAAGAACGAGUGUGAGAGUGGAAAGUUCACACUGUGACGGUAUCUUACCAGAAAGGGACGGCUAACUACGUG
rnacentral:rRNA from 1 species